rnacentral:rRNA from 1 species
ACGAACGCUGGCGGCGUGCCUAAUACAUGCAAGUCGAACGAAACUUUCUUACACCGAAUGCUUGCAUUCACCGUAAGAAGUUGAGUGGCGGACGGGUGAGUAACACGUGGGUAACCUGCCUAAAAGAAGGGGAUAACACUUGGAAACAGGUGCUAAUACCGUAUAUCUCUAAGGAUCGCAUGAUCCUUAGAUGAAAGAUGGUUCUGCUAUCGCUUUUAGAUGGACCCGCGGCGUAUUAACUAGUUGGUGGGGUAACGGCCUACCAAGGUGAUGAUACGUAGCCGAACUGAGAGGUUGAUCGGCCACAUUGGGACUGAGACACGGCCCAAACUCCUACGGGAGGCAGCAGUAGGGAAUCUUCCACAAUGGACGCAAGUCUGAUGGAGCAACGCCGCGUGAGUGAAGAAGGUCUUCGGAUCGUAAAACUCUGUUGUUAGAGAAGAACACGAGUGAGAGUAACUGUUCAUUCGAUGACGGUAUCUAACCAGCAAGUCACGGCUAACUACGUGCCAGCAGCCGCGGUAAUACGUAGGUGGCAAGCGUUGUCCGGAUUUAUUGGGCGUAAAGGGAACGCAGGCGGUCUUUUAAGUCUGAUGUGAAAGCCUUCGGCUUAACCGGAGUAGUGCAUUGGAAACUGGAAGACUUGAGUGCAGAAGAGGAGAGUGGAACUCCAUGUGUAGCGGUGAAAUGCGUAGAUAUAUGGAAGAACACCAGUGGCGAAAGCGGCUCUCUGGUCUGUAACUGACGCUGAGGUUCGAAAGCGUGGGUAGCAAACAGGAUUAGAUACCCUGUUAGUCCACUCCGUAAACGAUGAAUGCUAGGUGUUGGAGGGUUUCCGCCCUUCAGUGCCGCAGCUAACGCAAUAAGCAUUCCGCCUGGGGAGUACGACCGCAAGGUUGAAACUCAAAGGAAUUGACGGGGGCCCGCACAAGCGGUGGAGCAUGUGGUUUAAUUCGAAGCAACGCGAAGAACCUUACCAGGUCUUGACAUCCUUUGACCACCUAAGAGAUUAGGCUUUCCCUUCGGGGACAAAGUGACAGGUGGUGCAUGGCUGUCGUCAGCUCGUGUCGUGAGAUGUUGGGUUAAGUCCCGCAACGAGCGCAACCCUUGUUGUCAGUUGCCAGCAUUAAGUUGGGCACUCUGGCGAGACUGCCGGUGACAAACCGGAGGAAGGUGGGGACGACGUCAAGUCAUCAUGCCCCUUAUGACCUGGGCUACACACGUGCUACAAUGGACGGUACAACGAGUCGCGAGACCGCGAGGUUUAGCUAAUCUCUUAAAGCCGUUCUCAGUUCGGAUUGUAGGCUGCAACUCGCCUACAUGAAGUCGGAAUCGCUAGUAAUCGCGAAUCAGCAUGUCGCGGUGAAUACGUUCCCGGGCCUUGUACACACCGCCCGUCACACCAUGAGAGUUUGUAACACCCAAAGCCGGUGGGGUAACCGCAAGGAGCCAGCCGUCUAAGGUGGGACAGAUGAUUGGGGUG